UCCGGAGGGCGCAAUCGUUGUUCGGAAUCAUUGGGCGUAAAGCGCGUGCAGGCGGCUUGGUAAGUCGGGUGUGAAAUCCCGGGGCUCAACCCCGGAACUGCACCCGAUACUGCCUCGCUCGAGUCCCGGAGAGGAUGGCGGAAUUUCCGGUGUAGAGGUGAAAUUCGUAGAUAUCGGAAGGAACACCAGCGGCGAAGGCGGCCAUCUGGACGGUGACUGACGCUCAGACGCGAAAGCGUGGGGAGAAAACAGG
rnacentral:rRNA from 1 species